rnacentral:rRNA from 1 species
CCUACGGGCGGCAGCAGUGGGGAAUAUUGCACAAUGGGGGAAACCCUGAUGCAGCGACGCCGCGUGAGUGAAGAAGUCAUUCGUUAUGUAAAGCUCUAUCAGCAGGGACGAAAAUGACGGUACCUGAGUAAGAAGCCCCGGCUAACUACGUGCCAGCAGCCGCGGUAAUACGUAGGGGGCGAGCGUUAUCCGGAUUUACUGGGUGUAAAGGGAGCGUAGACGGCAGUGUAAGUCUGGAGUGAAAGGCGCGGGCUCAACCCGCGGACUGCACUGGAAACUGGAAGGCUGGAGUGCAGGAGAGGGAAGUGGAAGUCCUAGUGUAGCGGUGAAAUGCGUAGAUAUUAGGAGGAACACCAGUGGCGAAGGCGACUCUCUGGACUGUAACUGACGUUGAGGCUCGAAAGCGUGGGGAGCAAACAGGAUUAGAUACCCGAGUAGUC